AUGGAAGGAGAAGGGGGUUGCUAAGGUCCAUUCCCGCUGUCAUUCCUCUGUCUGGUAUAGAGGUUCAGUUAAAGCUUCGGGUGGGAAAGAGAUUCGCUCGUUGUCGUGUAUCCCAUUGCUCUUAUUACAGUGGUUGACAGUGGCUUAUGUAAGUGUUGCCCCUGGGCUCCGGAUCCAUUCUCUGUCUCCCUCUCUUUCUUUCCUUUCUAGUAGCAAACUUUAUUCUGUGGCUUUCCUUCCGUUCCGCGAGAGUAGGGCACCAAAAGCUGUCCUAUCAUUUAUUGGAGUGGAAGGCCUUCCCAUCCUCAUUCCGAAACAAAGAGAGUAA